rnacentral:rRNA from 1 species
AUGAACGCUAGCGACAGGCUUAACACAUGCAAGUCGAGGGGCAGCGGGGGUAGCGAUACCCGCCGGCGACCGGCGCACGGGUGAGUAACGCGUAUGCAACUUGCCUAUCAGAGGGGGAUAACCCGGCGAAAGUCGGACUAAUACCGCAUGAAGCAGGGGCCCCGCAUGGGGAUAUUUGCUAAAGAUUCAUCGCUGAUAGAUAGGCAUGCGUUCCAUUAGGCAGUUGGCGGGGUAACGGCCCACCAAACCGACGAUGGAUAGGGGUUCUGAGAGGAAGGUCCCCCCACAUUGGUACUGAGACACGGACCAAACUCCUACGGGAGGCAGCAGUGAGGAAUAUUGGUCAAUGGGCGUAAGCCUGAACCAGCCAAGUCGCGUGAGGGAUGAAGGUUCUAUGGAUCGUAAACCUCUUUUAUAAGGGAAUAAAGUGCGGGACGUGUCCCGUUUUGUAUGUACCUUAUGAAUAAGGAUCGGCUAACUCCGUGCCAGCAGCCGCGGUAAUACGGAGGAUCCGAGCGUUAUCCGGAUUUAUUGGGUUUAAAGGGUGCGUAGGCGGCCUUUUAAGUCAGCGGUGAAAGUCUGUGGCUCAACCAUAGAAUUGCCGUUGAAACUGGGGGGCUUGAGUAUGUUUGAGGCAGGCGGAAUGCGUGGUGUAGCGGUGAAAUGCAUAGAUAUCACGCAGAACCCCGAUUGCGAAGGCAGCCUGCCAAGCCAUUACUGACGCUGAUGCACGAAAGCGUGGGGAUCAAACAGGAUUAGAUACCCUGGUAGUCCACGCAGUAAACGAUGAUCACUAGCUGUUUGCGAUACACUGUAAGCGGCACAGCGAAAGCGUUAAGUGAUCCACCUGGGGAGUACGCCGGCAACGGUGAAACUCAAAGGAAUUGACGGGGGCCCGCACAAGCGGAGGAACAUGUGGUUUAAUUCGAUGAUACGCGAGGAACCUUACCCGGGUUUGAACGCAUUCGGACCGAGGUGGAAACACCUUUUCUAGCAAUAGCCGUUUGCGAGGUGCUGCAUGGUUGUCGUCAGCUCGUGCCGUGAGGUGUCGGCUUAAGUGCCAUAACGAGCGCAACCCUUGCCACUAGUUACUAACAGGUAAAGCUGAGGACUCUGGUGGGACUGCCAGCGUAAGCUGCGAGGAAGGCGGGGAUGACGUCAAAUCAGCACGGCCCUUACAUCCGGGGCGACACACGUGUUACAAUGGCGUGGACAAAGGGAGGCCACCUGGCGACAGGGAGCGAAUCCCCAAACCACGUCUCAGUUCGGAUCGGAGUCUGCAACCCGACUCCGUGAAGCUGGAUUCGCUAGUAAUCGCGCAUCAGCCAUGGCGCGGUGAAUACGUUCCCGGGCCUUGUACACACCGCCCGUCAAGCCAUGGGAGCCGGGGGUACCUGAAGUCCGUAACCGCGAGGAUCGGCCUAGGGUAAAACUGGUGACUGGGGCU